AGCAGUUUCAUAAGCAAGCACUACAAACAUACAAAAAGAGGAAGUAGUAACUACUGCCAAACACACCUCAUUGCCGAGUAACCACUCUCGACUGCCAUUCCCUACCCACCUCUGCCGGGUAACAGACCCUUCUACACUACUCAUAUAGUCUAAGGGAAAGGGGCAAACCCCUCUGUGGUUAUCACCUAAACUGGAGACUCACACUCUUAUCACAUCCACAUGGGGCUCAC